AGAGUUUGAUCCUGGCUCAGAACGAACGCUGGCGGCGUGCUUAACACAUGCAAGUCCAACGUGAAAGGGGAGCAAUCCCCCGGUAGGGUGGCGAACGGGUGAGUAAGACAUGGGUGAUCUACCUUAGGGAUGGGGAUAUCCUUCCGAAAGGAGGGGCAAUACCGAAUAUUGUCCGGACCAUGAAGGGUUCCCGGGGAAAGGGAGGGCCUCUGAUACAAGCUUUCGCCUUAAGAUGAGCCCAUGGCCCAUCAGCUAGUUGGUAGGGUAAAGGCCUACCAAGGCUACGACGGGUCGCUGGUCUGAGAGGACGAUCAGCCACACUGGCACUGAGACACGGGCCAGACUCCUACGGGAGGCGAC
rnacentral:rRNA from 1 species